AUUGACCUCGGAUCAGGUAGGGAUACCCGCUGAACUUAAGCAUAUCAAUAAGCGGAGGNAA
rnacentral:rRNA from 1 species